GCCUGGAUAGCUCAGAUGGUAGAGCGCGUCCUUGGUAAGGACGAGGUCACCGGUUCAAUCCCGGUUCCAGGCUCCA
rnacentral:tRNA from 1 species